AGAGUUUGAUCCUGGCUCAGAACGAACGCUGGCGGCAGGCCUAACACAUGCAAGUCGAACGCCCCAGCAAUGGGGAGUGGCGCACGGGUGCGUAACGCGUGGGACAUGCCCCUCACUACGGAACAACGUCGGGAAACUGACGCUAAUACCGUAUAAUGACUCCGGUCCAAAGAUUUAUCGGUGAGGGAUUGGCCCGCGUUAGAUUAGGUAGUUGGUGAGGUAAUGGCUCACCAAGCCUGCGAUCUAUAGCUGGUCUGAGAGGAUGAUCAGCCACACUGGUACUGAGACACGGACCAGACUCCUACGGGAGGCAGCAGUGAGGAAUAUUGGACAAUGGGCGCAAGCCUGAUCCAGCCAUGCCGCGUGAGUGAAGAAGGCCUUCGGGUUGUAAAGCUCUUUCAGUCGUGAAGAUAAUGACGGUAGCGACAGAAGAAGCCCCGGCUAAAUUCGUGCCAGCAGCCGCGGUAAUACGAAUGGGGCAAGCGUUGUUCGGAAUCACUGGGCUUAAAGCGUGCGCAGGCGGAUUUGCAAGUCAGAAGUGAAAUCCCGGGGCUUAACCCCCGGAAUUGCUUUUGAAACUGCAAAUCUAGAAUCCCGGAGAGGUUAGGAGAAUUCCGAGUGUAGAGGUGAAAUUCGCAGAUAUUCGGAGGAAUACCAGUGGCGUAGGCGCCUAACUGGACGGGCAUUGACGCUCAGGCACGAAAGCGUGGGGAGCAAACAGGAUUAGAUACCCUAGUAGUCC
rnacentral:rRNA from 1 species